GUGAACGCUGGCGGUAGGCCUAACACAUGCAAGUCGAACGGCAGCACAGUAAGAGCUUGCUCUUACGGGUGGCGAGUGGCGGACGGGUGAGGAAUACAUCGGAAUCUACUUUUUCGUGGGGGAUAACGUAGGGAAACUUACGCUAAUACCGCAUACGACCUACGGGUGAAAGCAGGGGAUCUUCGGACCUUGCGCGAUUGAAUGAGCCGAUGUCGGAUUAGCUAGUUGGCGGGGUAAAGGCCCACCAAGGCGACGAUCCGUAGCUGGUCUGAGAGGAUGAUCAGCCACACUGGAACUGAGACACGGUCCAGACUCCUACGGGAGGCAGCAGUGGGGAAUAUUGGACAAUGGGCGCAAGCCUGAUCCAGCCAUACCGCGUGGGUUAAGAAGGCCUUCGGGUUGUAAAGCCCUUUUGUUGGGAAAGAAAAGCAGCAGGUUAAUACCCCGCUGUUCUGACGGUACCCAAAGAAUAAGCACCGGCUAACUUCGU
rnacentral:rRNA from 1 species